GUAGGUGGCAAGCGUUGUCCGGAAUUAUUGGGCGUAAAGCGCGCGCAGGCGGUUCUUUAAGUCUGAUGUGAAAGCCCACGGCUCAACCGUGGAGGGUCAUUGGAAACUGGAGAACUUGAGUACAGAAGAGGAAAGCGGAAUUCCACGUGUAGCGGUGAAAUGCGUAGAGAUGUGGAGGAACACCAGUGGCGAAGGCGGCUUUUCUGGUCUGUAACUGACGCUGAGGCGCGAAAGCGUGGGGAGCAAACAGGGAUUAGAUACCCUGGUAGUCCACGCCGUAAACGAUGAGUGCUAAGUGUUAGGGGGGUUUCCGCCCCCUUAGUGCUGCAGCUAACGCAUUAAGCACUCCGCCUGGGGAUACGGCCGCAAGGCUAA
rnacentral:rRNA from 1 species